GAUGAACGCUGGCGGCGUGCCUAAUACAUGCAAGUCGAGCGAACGGACGAGAAGCUUGCUUCUCUGAUGUUAGCGGCGGACGGGUGAGUAACACGUGGAUAACCUACCUAUAAGACUGGGAUAACUUCGGGAAACCGGAGCUAAUACCGGAUAAUAUUUUGAACCGCAUGGUUCAAAAGUGAAAGACGGUCUUGCUGUCACUUAUAGAUGGAUCCGCGCUGCAUUAGCUAGUUGGUAAGGUAACGGCUUACCAAGGCAACGAUGCAUAGCCGACCUGAGAGGGUGAUCGGCCACACUGGAACUGAGACACGGUCCAGACUCCUACGGGAGGCAGCAGUAGGGAAUCUUCCGCAAUGGGCGAAAGCCUGACGGAGCAACGCCGCGUGAGUGAUGAAGGUCUUCGGAUCGUAAAACUCUGUUAUUAGGGAAGAACAUAUGUGUAAGUAACUGUGCACAUCUUGACGGUACCUAAUCAGAAAGCCACGGCUAACUACGUGCCAGCAGCCGCGGUAAUACGUAGGUGGCAAGCGUUAUCCGGAAUUAUUGGGCGUAAAGCGCGCGUAGGCGGUUUUUUAAGUCUGAUGUGAAAGCCCACGGCUCAACCGUGGAGGGUCAUUGGAAACUGGAAAACUUGAGUGCAGAAGAGGAAAGUGGGAUUCCAUGUGUAGCGGUGAAAUGCGCAGAGAUAUGGAGGAACACCAGUGGCGAAGGCGACUUUCUGGUCUGUAACUGACGCUGAUGUGCGAAAGCGUGGGGAUCAAACAGGAUUAGAUACCCUGGUAGUCCACGCCGUAAACGAUGAGUGCUAAGUGUUAGGGGGUUUCCGCCCCUUAGUGCUGCAGCUAACGCAUUAAGCACUCCGCCUGGGGAGUACGACCGCAAGGUUGAAACUCAAAGGAAUUGACGGGGACCCGCACAAGCGGUGGAGCAUGUGGUUUAAUUCGAAGCAACGCGAAGAACCUUACCAAAUCUUGACAUCCUUUGACAACUCUAGAGAUAGAGCCUUCCCCUUCGGGGGACAAAGUGACAGGUGGUGCAUGGUUGUCGUCAGCUCGUGUCGUGAGAUGUUGGGUUAAGUCCCGCAACGAGCGCAACCCUUAAGCUUAGUUGCCAUCAUUAAGUUGGGCACUCUAAGUUGACUGCCGGUGACAAACCGGAGGAAGGUGGGGAUGACGUCAAAUCAUCAUGCCCCUUAUGAUUUGGGCUACACACGUGCUACAAUGGACAAUACAAAGGGCAGCGAAACCGCGAGGUCAAGCAAAUCCCAUAAAGUUGUUCUCAGUUCGGAUUGUAGUCUGCAACUCGACUACAUGAAGCUGGAAUCGCUAGUAAUCGUAGAUCAGCAUGCUACGGUGAAUACGUUCCCGGGUCU
rnacentral:rRNA from 1 species